CUCGGGGACGGACAUAUUUUCCUCCUCUCCAGAAUUUUUAGAAUUUUAUCAAGCCAGAAUACGACAAGAAAAGGUUCUUGUGUGCUGCACAUGAAGAACAUUCCAAUCUCCAUACCCUUGAUCCAGUCAGGGCCUUACAGAAAUAUGUCAUUCAGACCAAAUCAUUUCGGAAGUCAGAGUCUCUCUUUGUUUACAUGGUGGCCAUAGUGCAGGUAACAAAGCAUCUAAACGAACUAUUGCUCGAUGGAUAGUGUCCACCAUACAUACAGCUUAUUCACUAGCAAAUCAACCGUCUCCUGUUCAUACUAAGGCUCAUUCUACAAGGAAGGUCGGUACUUCCUGGGCAUUUUUCAACAAUGUUUCUCCGGAGAGCAUUUGCAGAGCUGCAACUUGGACUUCGCUGCAUACUUUUUCCAGAUUUUACAGACUGAAUUUACAACACAAAGCCGACUUUCAAUUCGGCAGAGUGGUUCUACAAGCAGCUAAUUCAGUUUAAUUCAGUUUUACAUGUAUAUAGUUCCCUCCCUAUUUUUGGACGGCUUUGGGACAUCCCCAGACGUCCUGCACUGACAGGUAGGGCCGACCGCAUAAAGGAGAUUUACUUACCGAUAAAUUCCUUUUGCGUAGGCCCGUACUGUCAGUGCAGCAUCCCACCCUGUUUUUGCGGAUGCCGCGUUUUUUUGCGUAACUUAGUAAGAUAUCAGUUCUCCACUCGCAGACUUUAUAACAAACUGAUGGGAGGAAGUGGAGAACGGGAAGAGGAGGAGCUCAAGAAAGAGUUACUGUUUGUCCUGCCUCCAGAGGGGAGAACAUUAACCCCAGACGUCCUGCACUGACAGUACGGGCCUACGCAAAAGGAAUUUAUCGUGAAAUAUUCCAAGCGAUUUGCGAGAGACCGAUUUGAGAGAGAAAGUGAUUGUGAGAGAGACCGCAAAAGAAGAAGAGAGAGAGAAGCAAAGAGAAGAGAGAAGACAAAGAAGAAAGAAGACCUUGAGUGACCCCCUGCCAGAGAUUAAUAAUAUUUUCUCAUUUGGGAUCCUCUGGACAAAGGGGUGUCGAAGAUGGGCUUGUGUUCAAGCAAGGACCGCCUUUACAUAAAAGGCUAUCGCCAGCUUGCCUUAUAGCUUCUUUGCAUGAUUUAUUGGCCUCCUUGUACCUUAUAAAUGAUUCGGCUUAAAUCCCUCUACAAACAACAGAUAAACUGGGCAAUUUUCAAGUACAUGGAAACAUAUCCAGGUACAGUAUCUAAUGAAUUUAUUUGUUCAAUUAUUACUAUUUUGUAUUAGGGCUGAUGUAUUGAAAGUCAUUGCAAUGCUGUGAUUUUGUGAAAAACAAUCACAAAAAGAACAUAUAAAUCCUGCGCAGCUGAAACCUAUUGAGAUGCCAUAGAAACUAAUAGGAAGUGUAUCUUCAUAAUUUUGGCAAGGGAUUGGGAUCAAAUUGCUUGAAAAUGCAGAGAAACUUGUGAUUUGCAACUUGUCCCAUAAUCACAGAGGGAAAUGGUACAUUCGCAUUUAGUGAUGUUAAUUUGCAUAACUGCCAUAUUACUGAUUAAAAUCCCCCAAAAUGUUAUAGAAUUUCUACAGAGAUAUCACUUGCUAAGGUAAAACCCUUGGGUACAAGUUUAACGUUAUUUUGUUUGGUUUUGCAGAGAGCCCACCAGCCACAAGCACCGUCGAAAUUUACACUGUACCGCACAUCGUUUUCAAUCCAUCCCUCAAAAUGCAGAAGUCGGGUCUGCAGACUGCCUGGGGCCCAAUGGAAAGACAGGAAUGCAGGGUUCACUUUGUAGCUUAAUGGUGCUCAUGUUUAUGCAGCCAUAUUCCCUUCUAUUUAAGUUCCCUCCACCGCAAUUCCAACCACAGUGUCCCUAAUUUCCCCAAUUAUUUCUACUGUAAUUCCACCAGUGGUGCCACACUUACACCUAAAAUAUUGUUCCAUAGACAAGAGCACCCUCAAGCCACUCGGUAGACCCUGCAUUUCUGUCCACUCCAUCCCUCAGACUGCAGAAGCCCGGGUCUACAGGCUGUCUGGGGUCCAAUAGAAUGGAAUGUAGUGUUCACCUUGUAGCUUAAAGGCGCGCAUGUGUAUGCUGCCAUAUUCCCUUCUGUUUCCUUCAUCCUGCUUCACUUGAUUUAAUUUGGCGCAUUGAUCCUGGGAGCUAAUCCGAUCGCCGUUAAGGGGUCAGGAAAGAAUUUUUCCCUCUAGUAAGCAGAUUGUCCCAAGCUUGCCAGAGGUUUUUUGCCUUCCUCUGGAUCAAAUAGUGCAGUUUAUCUAAUUAUUAUCAAUAAAACUGUGACUUACACAGAUUUAACAUCAA